AUAAUUAUCAAUUAACUUCACCUCUUCUGUUUCCUUCACUCUCUCCUUCCUUGAUUCCUAUCAUUAAUAUUAUUAAUCCAAAUAAAGUGUUUGGAUAAAUUAUUAAUUCCGGUUCCAGAAUUUCAAUUCCUACCAUUAUAUUAUUAAUCACAUACAAUCCCAUCAUUAGGAUUUGAUUCAACCAUUACACCAAAAAAAAAAGGAUUUGAUUCAACCACCGCCUAUCAAGACCAUCGCCGGCGAAAUUGCUUUAGAGUAAAAGGAACCCGACGGUUGGGGCAUGUUGACUCGGUCCAAAUCGCCUAACAAUUGGGCUUAUAUAACGACAGUGGUUUCUACGACGGAUAUGGCGGCAGCGACGAGUGACGUGGGUGACGUUGCAAUAGUAUUUUGCAAGGACAUGAUCGAUGGCGUCAUUGUUGGUGCAUAGAGGUGUCAAAAGUCGAAAGAACAUUGAAAUGGAAGGAUGUAAUUUGGGAUUAGAUUGAUAGAGGAGAGAGUGAUUGCAGAAGAGAGGUGAGGUGGAGAUGGCGGUGGUUGUGGUAUUGGUGUUUCGUUGGAGGAGAGAUAGGGUGUGGGAGAGGAGAGAGAAAUGAUGGGUAUGGCAAAUGUUAAAAAAAAUGGGUGAAGGGAAUUGGGCUUGCUGGAGAAUUUGAAAUGACAAUAAAAAUUGUGUCAUUUUAAAUUAUUCAUCUAUGGGUAUGACAACACUAUCAGGUACAAUGCGACCCGCAGGCAUUGACAUCGUACCAAGCUCGAGUUCUUAUUAUUUUCCAAUUUCUAGAGUUUUGUUUUUCAAUUUCAGUAUUAGUAUUUUGUUUUUAUUGGGCAAAUUUGUAAAAAACUACCUUAUAAAUUUGGAUUUUUGCGAAAAACUACCUUAUAAAAAAAAUGUUGGAAUUAACUACCUUAUAAAAAUUUUACGUUGCAGGAUACUACCUUUCGUCGGAUUAUAAGCAUCGAUUACACAUUUCGGGGUCGACUUUACUAGGUGCAUCUCAUGUGGCAUGUCAUGGAAAAUGAGUAAUUAAAUAACUCAUGAGAUACAUAUGAUAAAGUCAAUCCCGAAAUUAUGAUUCAACGUUCAAAAUUCGGAAAAAGGUAGUAUCUUAAAACAUAAUUAUUUUAUAAGGUAGUUAAUUACAACAUUUUUUUAUAAGGUAGUUUUUCACAAAUAAUCAAAUUUAUAAGGUAGUUUUUGACAAAUUUGCCUUUUUAUUAUUCAAACUUUUCUUGCUAAUUUGUAAAACAUAUUCUUUAAGGGAAAGAAACGAUAUUUUUAAAUAGAUAAAAUUUUGUAAUGGUGAUUACAAACAUCAAUGUUAACAAACAUAUUUCAAAUAAAAUAAACGUGUUUACUUCAA